GUGCCAGCCGCCGCGGUAAUACGGAGGGAGCUAGCGUUGUUCGGAAUUACUGGGCGUAAAGCGCACGUAGGCGGCUUUGUAAGUUAGAGGUGAAAGCCUGGGGCUCAACCCCAGAAUUGCCUUUGAUACUGCAUGGCUUGAAUCCAGGAGAGGUGAGUGGAAUUCCGAGUGUAGAGGUGAAAUUCGUAGAUAUUCGGAAGAACACCAGUGGCGAAGGCGGCUCACUGGACUGGUAUUGACGCUGAGGUGCGAAAGCGUGGGGAGCGAACAGGAUUAGAUACCCUCGUAGUCC
rnacentral:rRNA from 1 species